AUGGCCGACGCGGAUCAAAGUGUGGUAUCUGUUCUCAUCAGCUCAAUAUCUGAUAAGGGUUAUAUUUGUACCCAGGAUAUUAAACUUAUUUUUGCAAGUUGGCGGAGUGUUUGAAGCCUGUUUCACCUCCGCCGGGGAUCGACCCGGUAUUGCACUAUCUUCGGGAUUUUUGGUGUAUGGACA